UGUUGGAUUUUUAAUAAUGUUGGACAGAUUAAAAAUUUCUUAAAUAUCUAAUAAAAUUUUACUUUUAGUAUCACAAAGAAGAUCAAGAAGAUGUCUGGCAACAUUUCUUCUAAGAGAGGUGUGCAUUGCAGAAAGAGGGCCAGAAAAGUGCCAGGAUAUUAUUAAACUUCACAUAGAGUGCAUGCGGAAGGAAGGCUUCAAUGUGUGAUAUCAUCUUAUUAGAAUGUACAGCAACUCCAACAGAUACCUCAGUGAUGACACCAUUUACUGAUGAAUCUCCUCUCACCUGAGACAGUCAUGGGGCACUCAUGUUUAGUUCGAGUGUUCAUAUAGCUGUAGCUAUAUACUACUUGUUUACCUUGCUUAUAUAAUUAUGCAUGUUUGAGAACUAUAUGGACAUUGUUGUGGUAAUAUUAAGAACACUUGAGGUUUAUUAUCCCCACGCUUUUUAAAAAGCGUGGGGAUAUUGUGGUUAUCUCCGCUGUCUGUCCGUCCGUUCGUCUGUCCGUCCGUUUGCCACUAUCUCCUCCUACACUAUAAGUACUAGAACCUUAAAACUUACACACAUGGUAGCUAUGAGCAUAUGUGCGACCCUGCGCUAUUUGGAAUUUUGAUCUGAACUCUGAAUCAAAAGUUAUGGGGGUUGGGGUGGGGCCGGGUCAGAGAUUUUCACUCAUUUUUAACCAGGUUUUCAGAAGGAAAAAACUGGUUAUUAGAUUGGUGAAUGCGGGCGGGCGGGCUGGCUGGCUGGCGGGCUGGCUGGUUGGCUGGCGGGCUGGCGGAACAAGCUUGUCCGGGCCAUAACUAUGUCGUUCAUUGUCAGAUUUUAAAAUCAUUUAGCACAUUUGUUCACCAUCAUUGGACGGUGUGUCGCGCGAAAUAAUUACAUCGAUAUCUCCAAGGUCAAGGUCACACUUUGAGUUCAAAGGUCAAAAAUGGCCAUAAAUGAGCUUGUCCUGGCCAUAACUAUGUCAUUUAUUGUGAGAUUUAAAAAUCAUUUGGCACAUUUGUUCACCAUCAUGGGACGGUGUGUCGCACGAAAGAAUCACGUCAAUAUCUCCAAUGUCAAGGUCGCCACGACUAAAAAUAGAUUUUUUUUUAAAACAAACUUACAAAGGGGGUUAAUUUUGUUUGUUCAUUUCAAAAGUUCAGUUUGAGUUUUCUCCCUUUAUCAGAUUUUUUUUUUCACAAUGAAAACCUGGUUUUGUGACAAUUUUGUCCCUUGUUUUAUGUUAUUUUACAUUAACUUCUUCAUUUCUACACCGAUUUACUUCAAAUUGAUACUGAACAUCUCUUAUGAUUAUACGGUCAAUCUCAACUAUGCAUGGCCCCAUUACCAACCUUGGGGCGCCCCGCCCACAUAGACCACGCCCACCCAAAAUUGCCUUUUACUAUAAUUUCUUCAUUUCUACACCGAUUCACUUAAAAUUGAUACUGAACCUCUCUUAUGACAAUACGGUCAAUCUCAACUAUGCAUGGCCCGAUUACCAACCCUGGGGCGCCCCGCCCACAUAGGCCACACCCACCCAAAAUUGCCUUUAACUAUAACUUCUUCAUUUCUACACCGAUUCACUUCUAAUUGAUACUGAACUUCUCUAAUGACAAUACGGUCAAUCUCAACUAUGCAUGGCCCCAUCACCAACCCUGGGGCCCCCGCCCACAUAGACCACGCCCACCCAAAAUUGCCUUUUACUAUAAUUUCUUCAUUUCUACACCGAUUCACUUCAAAUUGAUACUGAACCUCUCUUAUGACAAUACGGUCAAUCUCAACUAUGCAUGGCCCCAUAACCAACCCUGGGGCGCCCCGCCCACAUAGGCCACACCCACCCAAAAUUGCCUUUUACUAUAACUUCUUCAUUUCUACUCCGAUUCACUUCUAAUUGAUACUGAACUUCUCUAAUGACAAUAUGGUCAAUCUCAACUAUGCAUGGCCCCAUUACCAACCCUGGGGCGCCCUGCCCACAUAGGCCACACCCACCCAAAAUUGCCUUUUACCAGAACUUCUUCAUUUCUACACCGAUUCACUUCUAAUUGAUACUGAACUUCUCUUAUGACAAUACGGUCAAUCUCAACUAUGCAUGGCCCCAUUAUCAACCCUGGGGCGCCCCUGGGUCAAACAUGCGGCGUGGGGAUACGCGUCGGCCUCUGCCGCGCCAUUUCUAGUUUAUUUCUGUGCCAGAUGUGCCUAUACUUAUCUCCUAAUAAAUUGUGUACAUACUUUGGCUUUCAUAUUGCAAUAACAUGUAUUUAUAUUGAUUACUGUAUCAAUAAUGCAGUAUUUUAAUAUGUAUUGUUCUUCAUCAUACAAUUGCAAUUGUAUUGAAGUGACUAGAACAUUGUGUGAAUAGCUUCUAUAAACAAAAAACAGACUGCAUGAAAUUGAUCUAAUCUACUUAUCAUUGUUGUUUCCAGCUUUUCCAUUGGAUAAUUAACUAUGUGUGUUAUAUUAUAAAACUGCAUCAUUUUAUAUGUGCGUGUGCAUACAUACCCUCCCAAAUGUGUGCUAAUGGGAGAGCACUUGAAAUGUAGAUUGGAAUAAAUAUUUGUUGGAACUUGUUAAUCAUGAAGAUCUCUCUGUAAAUAGAGUGUGUUUUCCAAUAUAUUGUAUGGUUUCUGCUGUAAUAGCAAUAGUAUAAUGCAACAUGUGUUAGUACUUUAUUUAACUUAUCCCAAAGGAAACAUGGGUGAGUUUUCUAUCAUAUUAUUUCGCUCAAACUCUGCAUUAUAAUUCACAAAACUAAACGUCAACAUUUUAAUAGACUCUGUAGGCGUAUUGCAUUUUAUUUCUAAUGUAAAUGAAAUGCUUAUCCUCAUAAAUGUUUUCUAAAGUUUGUUUUUAUCAUGUACUGGUAGUAUACUCAUAAUUCUCCGGUGAGCCAUAUUUUAAUAAAUAAUGGUGUUGAAAACCUGUCUGGGGCUGUCUAGUAAGCGCAGUGGUUGCUACGUUCGCUUCUCACUUAGAUGACCCGAAUUCAAUCCCCAGUCCCUGAAGCAUGUGAGUUUGGUUGGUGGUCACCAUACCAGACAGGUGGGUUUCCUCACGGCAGUCUGGCUUCCCCACACAAAACAAGACCACUCCAAUAUUAAAAUAUCUUUCAGUAAAAAACAAAUAGCUGAAAAUCGAAGCUACAAUUCAAAGUUCAUCCUCACUUCUUGUGCGUCAAAUAGUUAAUUGGGUAUGAGUGUUGAGACACAGUCCAGGUCCUCACGUAAUGCAGCCUCAGGCACGAGAAGACCUUGUAUACUUUGAAAAUACACACACACACAGUCUGUUGGACUGCUGUCUUCAUUUUUUUUCAUAUUCUUCUGGUAUAUGUAUGUGCUGAAAUGAUUAUUGGUACUUUACCGCAACUGAACUCCCAAACCAUUUUCCUCGUGAUCAUCAAUUGUGGUUAUUUGUGAUUGCUGUAUCCACAUUAUUAUUGAUCUUUGUUUGAUUUUCAUAAUAAAUCCAGUAAAUGUCAA